GUCUACGGCCAUACCACCCUGAACGCACCCGAUCUCGUCUGAUCUCGGAAGCUAAGCAGGGUCGGGCCUGGUUAGUACUUGGAUGGGAGAAAUGGGACAGGGAGUGCUAUUUAAA
rnacentral:rRNA from 1 species